UGCAGAGUGUGCUCAGAAGCUUGUGCACGUUGUUCACUGGAGGCCCCCAAGGCCUUUAUCCAGAGCCCUUUAACUUAUUCUACACACAAUUCCAACUAACUUAGUGCUCCAGUUUUCACGGCCAUUGCACACUCUAGAAAAGGGUGAGGAAGUUCUGCUAGAGCAAGGCACACUAUUCCCAGCAAGAAAUGACAAUGUCCAUCUAGCAGCAAGGAAGGAAAGGGAGGAACCACAAAAAUAAGACAAACUCAGCAGUCUUUGAGAAAAGUGGAAAUCUCUCUGGGGAAACAAAACAGCCUUAUUCAGCCACAGUAGACCUUGAGGGCAGUGACCAAUUAUUGUAAAUCACAAUAAUUUAUGUCCUGAACUCAUCAAUGAAUUAUGAAGAAAAAAAUCUAAGUAAGAAUAUGCUGGCAUUUCAAUUACCUGGAAAAUGUACUUCUGUGAAAUACAUUCUUCCCCACAAGGACUGGUGAGUGAGGCUGAUGGCUCCCUGUGUGCAGGCUCCCCUCACUUAACUUAGGCUCCCUGCAACCCUCCUACUGCAAGAAGAAAGAUGAGAAGAAGCACUAUAGUAACCCCUCUUUCUUUAUUCCUUUUUGUCUAAUUAUGGAGGAGAAGAGCAAGGUGGUGGUGGAAGUUUCAGAACAGAGCAGCUCUGAGAUCCACUGUCAAAGCUGUGAAUGCAGGAGGGGUCUACACACAGGGCAAUGUGUGCAGGGGGUUGAGGCAAGGGAGGGUUUAUCUCCCGAUGCCAAGUCUGAUGGUGCUUUUAGGUUGUCAAAGGCUGUGCUUUUGGCUGCCAUGGCUCUCUGGCAGUUUUCUCGGAAACACUAAUUGAUUGUGCCUCAUCCUUCAGGAAAUCUAGCAUGGAAUGGCGUUUCCUGUAUUCAUGUCAGAAGGGCUGCCUCAGCCCCCAAUUCCAGGAUGUGGUUACCCUGGAAAUAAGCCCGGGACUGUGCCUGAGAGUUUCCCCACUUUUGCCUCUCAGCACAGCUCCAUGAGCUGGAGUGUCUCCUGAGGCCCUGAGCUGAAACUCCUGCCUUCUUGGAGCAAAUCAGUCACAUGAACACACCCCUUCCCCGCCCUCAAUACCUCGGUUCUGGGAGGCAGCAAUCUGGACUCUACACUGUGCAUUGCCAUAUGCGCCCAAAGAGGUCCUGAGCACGUCAUUUCCCCAUAGGUGAUGGGUCAUCAGAUCUGUACACUUCCUCCAGAACAGGCCCACAGUGAGGAAUGAAGAAUGUUCAGCUUUCUGGCAAGAGGUGCCUAUGGAAGUAGUGGUGAGACAUCAGGCACACUGGCUGGACACAUCUCUGGACCCAGCAUCAGUCUUGGACAUUCUUGGUGGGAGCCCCACAAAGAUCCCAGUCUGAGAGGCACCCACUGAAGCCAUGUAUGACUUGCCUAAUCUUGAAGUAGAGCUCUGGAGUGCUGAGAGAACUAAUGGGAAUUUCUCUGCUAGAGGCUUCCUAAAGAAGCAGCACUGAAGAGAGAAAAUGAGUGCAAACAUAUGUUUUGAUAAAGAUGGUGGAUGCUGUGGAGGAAAGGGGAACAACACAAACUGCUGCAUGAACCAGAAGAAAGACCACACAGUCACCCUCUCGCCAUCUUUAUUCAACCCAGAGGAGUUCAUGCCCCUGGAUCCCACCCAGGAGCCCAUCUUCCCCCCAGAGUUGCUGGUAGGUGAUGCCCCAGGGAGAGGCCCAAUCAAGUCUCUGUGCCAUGACCCUUUUUAUUUCAGACCCCUGGGAUCUCUGUGUCCUGCUUGUCCUUUAGUUUUCAGCCUGCAUUUCCCUUCUUUCCUCUGACACCCAGAGGUCAAAUCUCUCUGCCAUACACUCCCACGGGGACCCACACUUCUCUCCUUCUCCCACAUGUGACUCUGAGGACAGGGAGUCAAGCUCUCUGGCACAUCAGGUACAGGAACAGUUGCUUCAGAAGUAUCUGCUAACUUCCUGGCUAAAUCUAAUGUAUAAGCCCCUCAAACAACCCAGUAUACUCUCUGUAAGCAGUCCAUCUAUUUAAAAAAAUAAACAAACAGGAGAAGAAUGCUGUAUCCAAAGGAUACGAUCCAUGGCUUGCAGCUCUGUCUUAAGGACGCCUCUCACACCUACUUUCUCACCUUGAUGAUUCUGCCCCUUCACCCCAACAUUCAUGGUGAAGAAGAAAUCCAGCCAUUCUCAGAGUUUUGUAAAUGCAGAUUUCUCAGGGGGUGUUAAGCACAUGAAGACUGCCUUAUGAGUUCAA